rnacentral:rRNA from 1 species
UGGGGAAUAUUGCACAAUGGGGGAAACCCUGAUGCAGCGACGCCGCGUGAACGAAGAAGGAAUUCGUAUCGUAAAGUUCUGUCCUAUGGGAAGAUAAUGACAGAACCAUAGAAGAAAGCUCCGGCUAAAUAGGUGCCAGCAGCCGCGGUAAUACGUAUGGAGCGAGCGUUGUCCGGAAUUAUUGGGCGUAAAGGGUACGCAGGCGGUUUAAUAAGUCGAAUGUUAAAGAUCGGGGCUCAACCCCGUAAAGCAUUGGAAACUGAUAAACUUGAGUAGUGGAGAGGAAAGUGGAAUUCCUAGUGUAGUGGUGAAAUACGUAGAUAUUAGGAGGAAUACCAGUAGCGAAGGCGACUUUCUGGACACAAACUGACGCUGAGGUACGAAAGCGUGGGGAGCAAACAGG